GAUGAACGCUAGCGGGAGGCUUAACACAUGCAAGUCGAACGGCAGCACGGGCUUCGGCCUGGUGGCGAGUGGCGCACGGGUGCGUAACGCGUAUGCAACCUGCCUUAUACAGGAGGAUAGCCCAUGGAAACGUGGAUUAAUACUCCAUAGCAUUGUUGAAUAGCAUGGUUUAACAAUUAAAACUUCGGUGGUAUAAGAUGGGCAUGCGUAGGACUAGCUAGGUGGUUAGGUAAUGGCUCACCAAGGCGACGAACCUUAGGGGUUCUGAGAGGAUUAUCCCCCACACCGGUACUGAGACACGGACCAGACUCCUACUGGAGGCAGCAGUGAGGAAUAUUGGUCAAUGGGCGCGAGCCUGAACCAGCCAUCCCGCGUGCAGGAUGACGGCCCUACGGGUUGUAAACUGCUUUUCUACUCCAAGAAACCUGGUUACGUGUAAUCAGUUGACGGUAGAGUAGGAAUAAGCAUCGGCUAACUCCGUGCCAGCAGCCGCAGUAACAC
rnacentral:rRNA from 1 species